UUUCCGUAGGUGAACCUGCGGAAGGAUCAUUAUUGUAUAACCGAGGCUUGAGGUCUGUCGCUCACCCGGACGCUUGCGCAAGCCCGAGUGUACCCACACACAACCAUCACACCCCUAUUUACACCACCGCGCGGGUCAUCCUCUGGCUUGUUCGGAGAGGGGCUUACGUUAUCACACAAACUUUGUAUGCAGUGUAGAAUGUCUUUUUUCUAUGUGCGAUCACGCAAUCAAUACAACUUUCAACAACGGAUCUCUGGGCACCAGACUCGAUGAAGACAG
rnacentral:misc_RNA from 1 species